AGCAGUCGCCGCGGUAACACCGAGGGUGCGAGCGUUAAUCGGAUUUACUGGGCGUAAAGCGUGCGUAGGCGGCUUCUUAAGUCGGAUGUGAAAUCCCUGAGCUUAACUUAGGAAUUGCAUUCGAUACUGGGAAGCUAGAGUAUGGGAGAGGAUGGUAGAAUUCCAGGUGUAGCGGUGAAAUGCGUAGAGAUCUGGAGGAAUACCGAUGGCGAAGGCAGCCAUCUGGCCUAAUACUGACGCUGAGGUACGAAAGCAUGGGGAGCAAACAGGAUUAGAUACCCCGGUAGUCCCUGUCUCUUAUAC
rnacentral:rRNA from 1 species